GUUCUCCCCGAAAGCUAUUUAGGUAGCGCCUCGGACGAAUACUACUGGGGGUAGAGCACUGUUUGGGCUAGGGGGUCAUCCCGACUUACCAACCCCAUGCAAACUCCGAAUACCAGUAAGUAAUAUCCGGGAGACACACGGCGGGUGCUAACGUCCGUCGUGAAGAGGGAAACAACCCAGACCGCCGGCUAAGGUCCCAAAGUUCUGGUUAAGUGGGAAACGAUGUGGGAAGGCUCAGACAGCUA
rnacentral:rRNA from 1 species